rnacentral:misc_RNA from 1 species
CUCAACCCUCGAGGUCUCCCUUGAACGGUUGGAUUUGGGCGUUUGCCAUUCACCCUGGCUCGCCUUAAAUGCGUUAGUGGGACCGUCGCUCUCAUGUCUGGCGUAAUAAGUUUCGCUGGUACUGGAGUGAUGGGCCUGCUCACAACCCCCCAUAUUUUGACUCUGACCUCAAAUCAGGUAGGACUACCCGCUGAACUUAA